rnacentral:lncRNA from 1 species
UAAGUGAAAAAUAUCAAGCAAAGAAUUAGAAAACAUACAUAUAUAACUAAUUGUGUAUAUACAUAGAGAAAAGUAAAUAAAAAAAUGAAAAUGAUGGUACGGAGAAGGUGUACACAUAAGCAAAACAUUACAAAGUAAAAGUAUCAUAACAAGUGAAUAAUAACGAGUUUGUCUACACAUCAUGCAUCUAUAAUAACAAUAACCACGCAAGAGAUCGUAACAAACUACGGUUAUACUUGUAAACCUUUAUCCACUGCAUCAAACUAGGUCAUAUAUGGAAUGGAGACAAGUUGGAAACAACUUGUAGCUUCAUUCCAGACUCGUUUGAUGUUAAAUAAAACAUGUAGCUUCAUUCCAGACUCGUUUGAUGUUAAAUAAAACAUGUAGCUUCAUUUUCGGUUGUUUGAAAUUGGAAUCAACUUGUAGUUUCAUUCUUGGCUCGUUAGAGCCCGGAAACAAGUUGUAGCUUAAUUUUGACUACAUUGAAGUUGGAAACAACUUGUAGCUUCAUUCCAGACUCGUUUAAAGUUGAAAAAAACAUGUAGCUUCAUUUUCGGUUGUUAGAAAUUGGAAUCAACUUGUAGUUUGAUGUUAAAUAAAACAUGUAGCUUCAUUUUCGGUUAUUAGAAAUUGGAAUCAACUUGUAGUUUUAUUCUUGGCUCGUUUGAGCUCGGAAACAUCUUGUAGCUUCAUUCCAAACUCGUUUGAAGUUGCAAACAACAUGUAGCUUCAUUUUCGGUUAUUAGAAAUUGGAAUCAACUUGUAGUUUUAUUCUUGGCUCGUUUGAGCCCGGAAACAACUUGUAGCUUCAUUCCAGGCUCGUUUUGGAAUGGAGACAGCAUCUCCAAGAGACUCUUAAAUGAGCUCUUAAAUUGAAAUUUGAGGAGGGAGAAAGAAUUUGUUGCUCCGAGAGACUCUUAGUAGCUCUUAAAAUCACUAAGAACCUCUUGUUUCUCUCUCCUCUCUCCUCAAAGUUAAGAGCCACUGCAUAGCUCUUAACUUAUUUUUUUAAAUAAAAUAUUCAUUCCCUCCAAUUGCAUUUGAAUUUUUGUAAUAUAUAAGUCUAAACAAGAAUAAAAUAUAAACUUAAGAGCAAGUAUAAAAAACAUUGUUGGAGUUGAGGCUCUUGAANAACUUGUAGCUUCAUUAUUGACUAGAUUGAACUAGCAAGUAUAAAAAACAUUGUUGGAGUUGAGGCUCUUGAAUUUGUAUUAACUUACUAGGAGUCUAAUAUUUUAUAUUAUAUUUAAGAGUUAACUAAGAGGCUGUUGGAGAUGCUCUUAUAAACUAGAAGACCAGAACACCUGGGCGUAUAAUUUUCCGGAAAGGGAACAUACAAUUUAGGGACAAUUGGUAAAAUAUACUGGAAAACCAUCGGCAAGAUUCUUCUUGCAAAGAUAAGAUCCUUCAAAGUAUCAAAGAAGAGCACACUUCACCUAUAUUUCCUUGUUUAUUUAUGCAUCCAUUAUAUUACAUCCUGUACAUUAGCAGUAUGCUGGCUUGAAUUUUGCAAUUUAUUGUACUGGUGUUACAAUAUGAUUAUAUAGGUCAAAAGGCUUCGUUUUUU